rnacentral:rRNA from 1 species
AAAUGAAUAGACGGGGGCCCGCACAAGCAGUGGAGUAUGUGGUUUAAUUCGAAGCAACGCGAAGAACCUUACCAGGGCUUGACAUCCUCGGACGACACUAGAGAUAGUGUUUUCUCUUCGGAGACUGAGAGACAGGUGGUGCAUGGUUGUCGUCAGCUCGUGUCGUGAGAUGUUCGGUUAAGUCCGGCAACGAGCGCAACCCUUAUUGUUAGUUGCCAUCAUUUAGUUGGGCACUCUAGCGAGACUGCCGUUGACAAAACGGAGGAAGGUGGGGACGACGUCAAAUCAUCAUGCCCCUUAUGUCCUGGGCUACACACGUACUACAAUGGUAACAACAGCGAGCAGCGAAGCCGCGAGGCGAAGCAAAUCUUCAAAUGUUAUCUCAGUUCAGAUUGCAGGCUGCAACUCGCCUGCAUGAAGCAGGAAUUGCUAGUAAUGGCAGGUCAGCAUACUGCCGUGAAUACGUUCCCGGGCCUUGUACACACCGCCCGU